rnacentral:rRNA from 1 species
GACGAACGCUGGCGGCGUGCUUAACACAUGCAAGUCGAACGGAAAGGCCCUGCUUUUGUGGGGUGCUCGAGUGGCGAACGGGUGAGUAACACGUGAGUAACCUGCCCUUGACUUUGGGAUAACUUCAAGAAACUGGGGCUAAUACCGGAUAGCAGCUCCUGCUGCAUGGUGGGGGUUGGAAAGUUUCGGCGGUUGGGGAUGGACUCGCGGCUUAUCAGCUUGUUGGUGGGGUAGUGGCUUACCAAGGCUUUGACGGGUAGCCGGCCUGAGAGGGUGACCGGCCACAUUGGGACUGUGAUACGGCCCAGACUCCUACGGGAGGCAGCAGUGGGGAAUAUUGCACAAUGGGCGGAAGCCUGAUGCAGCAACGCCGCGUGCGGGAUGACGGCCUUCGGGUUGUAAACCGCUUUCGCCUGUGACGAAGCGUGAGUGACGGUAAUGGGUAAAGAAGCACCGGCUAACUACGUG